rnacentral:rRNA from 1 species
UACGUAGGGUGCGAGCGUUGUCCGGAAUUAUUGGGCGUAAAGAGCUCGUAGGCGGUCUGUCGCGUCGGUCGUGAAACUUGGGGCUUAACCCUGAGCUUGCGGUCGAUACGGGCAUGACUGGAGUUCGGCAGGGGAGACUGGAAUUCCUGGUGUAGGCGGUGGAAUGCGCAGAUAUCAGGAGGAACACCGGUGGCGAAGGCGGGUCUCUGGGCCGAUACUGACGCUGAGGAGCGAAAGCGUGGGGAGCGAACAGG